GGGGAAUUUUGGACAAUGGGCGCAAGCCUGAUCCAGCAAUGCCGCGUGCAGGAUGAAGGCCUUCGGGUUGUAAACUGCUUUUGUACGGAACGAAAAGCCUCUCUCUAAUACAGGGGGGUGAUGACGGUACCGUAAGAAUAAGCACCGGCUAACUUCGUGCCAGCAGCCGCGGUAAUACGAAGGGUGCAAGCGUUAAUCGGAAUUACUGGGCGUAAAGCGCGCGUAGGUGGUUCAGCAAGUUGGAUGUGAAAGCCCCGGGCUCAACCUGGGAACUGCAUCCUAAACUACUGAGCUAGAGUACGGUAGAGGGUGGUGGAAUUUCCUGUGUAGCGGUGAAAUGCGUAGAUAUAGGAAGGAACACCAGUGGCGAAGGCGACCACCUGGACUGAUACUGACACUGAGGUGCGAAAGCCUGGGGAGCAAACA
rnacentral:rRNA from 1 species